UACGAAGGGAGCUAGCGUUGUUCGGAAUUACUGGGCGUAAAGGGCGCGUAGGCGGCCUACUAAGUCAGACGUGAAAUCCCCCGGCUUAACCUGGGAACUGCGUCUGAUACUGGAGGGCUUGAGUGCGGGAGAGGGAUGUGGAAUUCCAGGUGUAGCGGUGAAAUGCGUAGAUAUCUGGAGGAACACCGGUGGCGAAGGCGGCAUCCUGGACCGACACUGACGCUGAGGCGCGAAAGCUAGGGGUAGCAAACGGG
rnacentral:rRNA from 1 species